AGUGAACGCUGGCGGUAGGCCUAACACAUGCAAGUCGAACGGUAACAGAAAACAGGUUUCUUCUUACCUGAGGAGUGUGGGAGGGGGGUGUAAUGUCCGGGGAACUGUCCUAUUUAGUGGGGUAUCUACUGGAGACAGUAACGAUUAUCCCAUAACGUCCCUAGGCGUGAAAGGAGGGGCUUAUCGCAUCUUGCCCUCUUGUGUGCCCCGAUGUGGGAUUAGCUAGUUGGCGGGGUAAAGGCCCACCAAGGCGACUCCCCGUAGCUGGUCUGAGAGGAUGACCAGCCACACUGGAACUGAGACACGGUCCAGACUCCUACGGGAGGCAGCAGUGGGGAAUAUUGGACAAUGGGCGCAAGCCUGAUGCAGCCAUACCGCGUGUAUGAAGAAGGCCUUCGGGUUGUAAAGUACUUUUGUCGGGAAGGAAGAGAAGAAAGUUAAUACCUCGGCUUACUGACGUUACCCAAAGAAGAAGCACCGGCUAACUUCGUG
rnacentral:rRNA from 1 species